AGCGAACGCUGGCGGCAGGCUAACACAUGCAAGUCGCACGAACUCUUCGGAGUUAGUGGCGGACGGGUGAGUAACACGUGGGAACGUGCCUUUUGGUUCGGAAUAACUCAGGGAAACUUGUGCUAAUACCGAAUGUGCCCUUCGGGGGAAAGAUUUAUCGCCAUUAGAGCGGCCCGCGUCUGAUUAGCUAGUUGGUGAGGUAACGGCUCACCAAGGCGACGAUCAGUAGCUGGUCUGAGAGGAUGACCAGCCACACUGGGACUGAGACACGGCCCAGACUCCUACGGGAGGCAGCAGUGGGGAAUCUUGCGCAAUGGGCGAAAGCCUGACGCAGCCAUGCCGCGUGAAUGAUGAAGGUCUUAGGAUUGUAAAAUUCUUUCACCGGGGACGAUAAUGACGGUACCCGGAGAAGAAGCCCCGGCUAACUUCGUG
rnacentral:rRNA from 1 species